rnacentral:rRNA from 1 species
AUACGGAGGAUCCGAGCGUUAUCCGGAUUUAUUGGGUUUAAAGGGUGCGCAGGCGGCUAUUUAAGUCAGCGGUUAAAUCGUGGGGCUCAACCCCAUUCUGCCGUUGAUACUGGGUGGCUUGAUUGCGGUCGAGGUUGGCGGAAUUCGUUGUGUAGCGGUGAAAUGUAUAGAUAUGACGAAGAACACCGAUUGCGUAGGCAGCUGACCAGACCGCAAAUGACGCUCAUGCACGAAAGUGCGGGGAUCGAACAGGAUUAGAUACCCUGGUAGUCCGCACAGUAAACGAUGAAUACUUGUUUUCGGCGAUAUAAUGUCGGAGGCAAAGCGAAAGCGAUAAGUAUUCCACCUGGGGAGUACGCCGGCAACGGUGAAACUCAAAGGAAUUGACGGGG